rnacentral:misc_RNA from 1 species
UUAAUUCUCAACCCCUCUCGAUUCGCUUCGAGAGGGUGCUUGGAUGUUGGGGGCUGCCGGAGACCUGGAUUCGUCCAGGACUCGGGCUCCUCUGAAAUGAAUCGGCUCGCGGUCGACUUUCGACUUUGCGCGACAAGGCCUUUGGCGUGAUAAUGAUCGCCGUUCGCCGAAGCGCAAGACAGAACGGUCCCGUGCCUCUAAUGCGUCGACGCCUUCCGGGGCGUCUUCCUUAUCGAC